AGAUGAGCACUGGGUGUAAAGCGUGCGCAGGCGGUUUUGUAAGACAGAGGUGAAAUCCCCGGGCUCAACCUGGGAACUGCCUUUGUGACUGCAAGGCUGGAGUGCGGCAGAGGGGGAUGGAAUUCCGCGUGUAGCAGUGAAAUGCGUAGAUAUGCGGAGGAACACCGAUGGCGAGGGCAAUCCCCUGGGCCUGCACUGACGCUCAUGCACGAAAGCGUGGGGAGCAAACA
rnacentral:rRNA from 1 species